rnacentral:tRNA from 1 species
GGGGUUAUGGCUCAGUGGUAGAGCGCUUGCCUAGCAUGUAUGAGGCAUAUGACUGCUUGAGGGUUGGGAAUAUGGCGCAGUUGAUAGAGUGCUUGCAUAAGGCCCUGGGUUCAAUCCCCAGUACCACCA